CGACCAGAAAAGAUACAUUUGAGCAGAAAAUCAAAGCAUUUUAUCAGUUAUAAAUCGUUUACACAUUCACACACAAAUAAACACACUGUAAAAUCAAUAGAUACAUUCGAUUCCGCUUCACUCGGCUCAAAAUCUAAAAUAGAGGGACAAUUUCAAGUACUCAACAUCGGUGAUUUUUGUCCAUAUUUUUGUUACUGACGGAACGGGCAGUUACGAACAGUGAUCAACCGACUAUAUUGGAAAAGAUUAAUAUUAACGCAUAAUAUUAUUAUGUAUAUAAUAAUAACACUUUGACCACAAUAAUUUUUUUCGAUUUUAUUCCAUACCGAAUUACAGCAGCUGUGAAAACAAAAACGUCUUUGUCAUCUUAUAUCAAACUGCACUAGACAAAACCGAGAGAAAGAGAGAGAGGGAGAGAGAGAAGUCCGACGCGUUGGAUAAAUGGAUCGAAUAAUUGUAUUGUAUAAAUAAUAUUAUUAUUUGAUUUAGUCAACAAAAUUUGUAGGUGUCGAGUGUACUCCACCAUUCAAGCAUAGGCACUGUAAUGGACGUGUUAACGAAUGCACCUGUUGUAUAACAAUAUUGCGGUGGAGAAAGAAGAUUCCUCGGGAAGGCAGUAAACAUUUUCGGUAACCCGCGAGAUUUCAAAAUAUCAGUUAUCAACGACGUACCUACCUACCAAAAAAUCUUGGAAAUCAAAAUCAAAAUACUACUUAAUAUAGUA